GAUGAAGAACGCAGCGAAAUGCGAUAAGUAAUGUGAAUUGCAGAAUUCAGUGAAUCAUCGAAUCUUUGAACGCACCUUGCGCCCUUUGGCCAUUCCGAAGGGCAUGCCUGUUUGAGUAUCAUGAACACCUCAACUCUUUAUGGUUUUCCAUGAUGAGCUUGGACUCUGGGGGUUUUGCUGGCUCACAGUCGGCUCCUCUAAAAUGAAUCAGCUUACCAGUGUUUGGUGGGUAUCAUGGGUGUUAUAACUAUCUACGCUUGUGGUUUUUCCACCAGGUAACCUUCAGCAGUGGAGGUUCGCUGGAGCUCAUAGAUGUCUCUCCUCAGUGAGGACAGCCCUUUGAAUGUUUGAUCUCAAAUCAGGUAGGACUACCCGCUGAACUUAAGCAUAUCAAUAAGCGGAGGA
rnacentral:misc_RNA from 1 species